UCCCAGGUAACCAGUUUCAAAAACAACUAUUUAAAUCACAUUUCAAAUAAAAAAAAAAAAAAAUCAUUUGAAGAUAAAGAAAGACGUUAACGUCUUCACCGUUAAACGUCACCCUCCCCCUUCUCUCUUUAUCUCCAAAUUCCAACCUCCAUGCCCUGCGUUAUGCCAACCUUAUUGCCAAGAAACAAUCGAGUCCCGCUGCAGAGAGAGACAACCUUUAUUGCCGAUGGAAAAUGACUUCCCCAGCUGCAAUCAAGUCCAUUGUCGUCUUCAAGAGACCAGACAACCUUUGCUGGUAGAAGUCACCGAGGAGGGAUUGUUGUAGGAUUCUACCAUCGAAGAWGAGUUCCACGAUGCACAUAUCCGUGGGCAACUACCGAGGUGGUGAAGUAAAUGAAUUGUAGCACUGGAGAUUUAGUUUUUGAUUCAUUAAUCUGUAUUUCUUUUGUGGGGAGUGAGUUCAUGAGGAUUGCAGUUAUGCCACUAGGAGAGGAGGAACUCCAUUUGGUAGCCAUGUUAUCUAGGAAGAAUGAUGAACGAUAUUUAUGUUUUUG